GAGUUUGAUCGUGGCUCAGGACGAACGCUGGCGGCGUGCUUAACACAUGCAAGUCGAACGGUAAGGCUCCAGCUUGCUGGGGUACACGAGUGGCGAACGGGUGAGUAACACGUGGGUGACCUGCCCUGCACUUCGGGAUAAGCCUGGGAAACUGGGUCUAAUACCGGAUAGGACCGCACCGUGAGGGUGUGGUGGAAAGUUUUUUCGUGUGGGAGUGGCCCGGCCGGCCGUAUCAGCUUGUUGGUGGGGUAAGU
rnacentral:rRNA from 1 species